GACGAACGCUGGCGGCGUGCUUAACACAUGCAAGUCGAACGGAGAGGCCCUGCUUUUGUGGGGUGCUCGAGUGGCGAACGGGUGAGUAACACGUGAGUAACCUGCCCUUGACUUUGGGAUAACUUCAGGAAACUGGGGCUAAUACCGGAUAGGAGCUCCUGCUGCAUGGUGGGGGUUGGAAAGUUUCGGCGGUUGGGGAUGGACUCGCGGCUUAUCAGCUUGUUGGUGGGGUAGUGGCUUACCAAGGCUUUGACGGGUAGCCGGCCUGCGAGGGUGACCAGCCACAUUGGGACUGAGAUACGGCCCAGACUCCUACGGGGGGCAGCAGUGGGGAAUAUUGCACAAUGGGCGGAAGCCUGAUGCAGCAACGCCGCGUGCGGGAUGACGGCCUUCGGGUUGUAAACCGCUUUCGCCUGUGACGAAGCGUGAGUGACGGUAAUGGGUAAAGAAGCACCGGCUAACUACGUG
rnacentral:rRNA from 1 species